rnacentral:lncRNA from 1 species
CAUGCCAGGGUCGAGCGGGUCAGGGUAGGCGCAGUCCUCCCUCCCAUUUUUUCUCCCUUCCCUCCCCCAGGUUCUCCUUCCUGCCGACUAAAUUUAGAGGUGAGGAUGUCAGCGAUGAUGCUGCCGGAUGUCUGCCAGCCAGCGCGGACGUCCUCUAGGCACCCACGACGCUGCUGCUGUACCAGGGGGUGAUGGAAUGGACUGGACCACGGGAAAUGUGGACAGGCAUUCCUCUUGAGAUGACUGCAGAUGGCACCCCCUGCUCCCACAACCCCAGCUCUGUCAUGGCCCACCACCCCGAGAAGCCUGAGGAGACCUCCACACAGCCCGCAGAGGGAAGAGAUGAGCCUGUCCCAUGGCCCCCAUCCGAUCCCUGGAUCAACACCCCCUGGGGUCCAAUGAUAGCCCUAGAGGACACAUGCAGGGGUACCCACUGUGAGCCUCGGGUCAAGCAGACCUUUGUGUGCCCUACUCUGUCCAGCAGCGGAGGGGGCAGAGCAGCGUGUUUCCUGUUGGUAUUAUCUUUCCUCAUUUUUUUUUUAAUUUAUGAGAAACUGCUUUAUUGAGAAGAAAGAAUGAUUUAAACGGUCCUGUGGUGCCUGCCGGUCCUUUUCUCGCCUGGGGGAAAGAAAUAAAUAAAUAACAUCCGCUCUGUGAUCUGUAUGCACAGGA